rnacentral:sRNA from 1 species
GUGGCAGCUGGCAGUAGUUCCGUCAGAGCGGACAUCUUGUGGCUGUGUCGUGCGCGUGAGCCCCGUAGGGCCGGGGAGGCACCAGCUGCCGCGCGGGGAGGAGGCCGAGGCCGCAGUUUGAGGGAGGCCCCGGCCCCUCUGCGCCUGUGUCUGGCAGAGCUGGUGUGAGACGAGACAAUCCUGCCCCGCCGCCGGGAUAAUCAAGAGUUUUGGCCGGACCUUUGAGCAUACACCGAGAGAGUGAGGAGCCAGACGAAAAGCACACACUAUGGCGCUGAAACGGAUUAAUAAGGAACUUAGUGAUUUGGCCCGUGACCCUCCAGCACAGUGUUCUGCAGGUCCAGUUGGGGAUGAUAUGUUUCAUUGGCAAGCCACAAUUAUGGGACCUAAUGACAGCCCAUAUCAAGGCGGUGUAUUCUUUUUGACAAUUCAUUUUCCUACAGACUACCCCUUCAAACCACCUAAGGCAAGUAUUUUCCCUCAAAGUCUGUUAGUAUAGAUUUAUGCUUUAUUUCAAAGGAAUAGAGCAUUCUUGGAAGAUAGGGUUCUGCGUAGGCUGUAUAUAUAUGUCGAAUUGAGGCACUGAUGUAUAGAUGCUGACUCUUAACCUUUGGUUUAAAGAGCUAGACCUCAGUUUGAACUUUGUAAAUAGAAAUAAGGUUUGCCUUUUCUUUAAUGUUGCAAGAUUCAGACCGUGUGGAAGCUUCCCCCCUCGUAUUAUUGUUACACAGAUUCUGAUUUUUGGGCUUUUGUUGUCUUGUAAGCAUCAAAUGUCCAACUUCAAUUUAUAUUUACACGUAUUGUUACAGCAUAUGCUUAUUAUGCUUAUAGUUUUGUAUACGUAAGUGUAAAUUUAUGAAAACUUAGAGUUGCUUAGUGCACUGAGUUGAUUGGUAUAUAGGUAUUAAAAGCAUAUUAUCCUUGACUUUUCAGUCAUUAAGAUAAAUUCAACCUGUAUGAGUAACUAGAAAAGGUAAUAUACAAAGGUCAUAAACAUGUCACUAUAACAGUCUCUAGUAAUGUUAUAGGUGCAAUGUGAUGGUUUCCAUUUUUGUGAUUCAAGUUUAUGUUUUAUGUGCGGUGGAAAAUGCAGACUCAGGUGUACCUGUGUAACUUAAUGAAACUUUAAAUGAGAUGGUCUACAAAUUUUGGUUACGUCCAAAAGUUAGGGCUUUUAUAAAUGAAUGUGUUAAAUACCUUUAAAUUGCCCUUUGAUUCAUGAUAUGGUAGGGCCAAAGUAACCUUUGAACUUUACAUCAUAUGAGUAAUGAAAUUUUUAUCCAAAAGUUUAGGUUUCUGUUGUAAAAAUAGGAGGCAGGGGGUUGUGGUCAGAUAGUAAAAAUCAGUUUCUAUAAUAUUUAGAACUUCUCUGCUAAUGACAUUUUUAACAUUGUGGCUUGAUUAUUUUAAGUUUUGCUUUAAAAGAUGUUUUUAUUUGAAUAAAAUACUUAAAUUUUUUGUUUUAGGUUGCAUUUACAACAAGAAUUUAUCAUCCAAAUAUUAACAGUAAUGGCAGCAUUUGUCUCGAUAUUCUAAGAUCACAGUGGUCGCCUGCUUUAACAAUUUCUAAAGUUCUUUUAUCCAUUUGUUCACUGCUAUGUGAUCCAAACCCAGAUGACCCCCUAGUGCCAGAGAUUGCACGGAUCUAUAAAACAGACAGAGAUAAGUACAACAGAAUAUCUCGGGAAUGGACUCAGAAGUAUGCCAUGUGAUGCUACCUUAAAGUCAGAAUAACCUGCAUUAUAGCUGGAAUAAACUUUAAAUUACUGUUCCUUUUUUGAUUUUCUUAUCCGGCUGCUCCCCUAUCAGACCUCAUCUUUUUUAAUUUUAUUUUUUGUUUACCUCCCUCCAUUCAUUCACAUGCUCAUCUGAGAAGACUUAAGUUCUUCCAGCUUUGGACAAUAACUGCUUUUAGAAACUGUAAAGUAGUUACAAGAGAACAGUUGCCCAAGACUCAGAAUUUUUUUAAAAAAAA